GCUGGGCGUGGUGGUGCUUGCCUGUAAUCCCAGCUACUCUGGAGGCUGAGGUGGGAGGAUCACUUGAGCCUGGGAAGUCAAGAAUGCAGUGAGCUGAGAUCAUGCCACUGCACUCAGCCUGGGCAAUAGAGUGAGACCCUGCCUAAA
rfam:Pan troglodytes isolate Yerkes chimp pedigree #C0471 (Clint) chromosome 9, whole genome shotgun sequence.